GCGCGGUUAGCUCAGUUGGUUAGAGCGCCACGUUGACAUCGUGGAGGUCACAAGUUCGAGUCUUGUACCGCGCA
rnacentral:tRNA from 1 species